rnacentral:lncRNA from 1 species
UGUUUACUUUUAAUAUUUUAUAUUUCUUGUUGAUUCAAAAUAUAUUUUACCUUUUUCUUUAAUAGUGGAUGAGAGUUCUGAAGAUGACUCUUUAACCAGGUUUUCUGACAAACCUGAUCCUGAUGAUUCCUGGCCUACGUCAGAGGAGGAUGACUAUAAUUUUGAUAACAAGUCAACAAAAUUGCCUCACAAAAUUGCCCAAGCUAGGCUGGAACCUGGAGUCCUUGGGCCUCACCUCCAGAGUGCUAGGAUUAAUGUGGCGCCACAUCUGACUGCACUGUGUUUUCUCAGUCAUUCUUCCAUUAGAAACCUUCACCCCAUGAAGAAGAUGGGGAUUAGAAAAUGGCAGAUUGGGGUUUGA